rnacentral:misc_RNA from 1 species
GAUGAAGAACGUAGCGAAAUGCGAUACUUGGUGUGAAUUGCAGAAUCCCGUGAACCAUCGAGUCUUUGAACGCAAGUUGCGCCCGAAGCCGUCAGGCCGAGGGCACGCCUGCCUGGGCGUCACACGCCGUUGCCCCCCCGCGCCCCGCACCCAACUCUUUGGGAGCGACCGCGGGGCGGGCUGAUGAUGGCCUCCCGUGCGCUCCGCCGCGCGGUUGGCCCAAAUACCGAGUCCCCGGCGACGUGCGCCACGACGAUCGGUGGUUGAGAGACCUCUGUCGCAAGUCGUGCGCGCCCGUCGCGUCACGCGGGCUCGCAUAGCGCCUCGCGCCGCACCCGGUGCGGAGCUUUCAACGCGACCCCAGGUCAGGCGGGGUUACCCGCUGAAUUUAAGCAUAUCAAUAAGCGGAGGA